UAAACACAAAGAUGAGUUGCUUAUUGUGGUCCCUGAGAUCUGACUCCCUGGUUUCUCGUGUCGUGUCCCUUGCACAGGAUUUAUUUCUACAAGAUGUAGAACUUUAAGUGAUGACAAGGAAGGAACGCGAAAGGAAGUAUUAGCCGUUCAAGUAGCCUACGAUCAACUUUUUCAUAAUCGACGUUUUGCUGAAUAAUGCAUCAUCCAGUUAAUACAGGUCACUAUCCCCAGUGUGGGCAUAUACUGCUUUUUUCCGAACAUGUUUUUCUACAAACAUUACAUUGCCACAGACAAAGAAAGCUAAAGGCCAUGGCCAUCUUCAGGUUUAUUGCAGCAUCUUCGGGGAAGUCACAUGAAAAGAUGAAGGGCACAUACCAACAGUUGCAUUUUUCUGAAUGUCUUACUCAAGUAUAGAUUCAACAUGAUUAACAUUUCAAAGUUAGUUAGAACUCUAACUCAGACACAGAUGACUGCUGCUGCUGCCUUACAGCCAAAGGUAGAAAAAUUAAUCUCUUUCUUCAUACUAUUGUAACUGGGAGAGCUGUUGGAGUAAUCUUGUCUUCAAUUAUCCUCACUUGACUCAUUUCAUCUUCUAGCUAGCAUAGAGAAACCUGAUUGAUGUUAUCAAGCCAUUUAGAUAAUGACCAAGAAUAUGCGGCCUACAGACUGUGAACAUCAGACGGGAUCAGACUUCAGCAUCAGACUUCAGCAUCUCUAGUCUCUACGACAGAAACGUGCAGUGACAUUCUACAUUUUCUACGCGGAUCAUCUAUUGUUAUUGUUGGUAUGAGUGUUUUUUUAUUUAACCCGUUGGCUGCCACGCCUUUGUUCUCCCAUGUGUUAGCUCCUUAGCACGGGCCACACUGUUUGGUCUCUUGGUCUUAUGUGCCUUGGGAUCGAACAGUUGCACCUGCCCCAGAUUUGCCGAAAGGCCCUGCUAGGCAAUGCACCAUAGGGACUUCCCCCUUGUCGAUACGGUGAUGGAUUCUAGAGGUUGUGCAUUCCAUCUUCUCCUGUCACCGCGUGUCAGCCCGGACUUGUCAGCAAUGGCA